CAGUAGCCACGGGAAUACAGAGGGUGCGAGCGUUAAUCGGAUUUACUGGGCGUAAAGGGCGCGUAGGCGGUUUAGUGAGUGUGAUGUGAAAGCCCCGGGCUUAACCUGGGAAGUGCAUCGCAAACGACUAAACUGGAGUAUAAGAGAGGGUGGCGGAAUUUCCGGUGUAGCGGUGAAAUGCGUAGAGAUCGGAAGGAACGUCAAUGGCGAAGGCAGCCACCUGGCUUAAUACUGACGCUGAGGCGCGAAAGCGUGGGGAUCAAACAGGAUUAGAUACCCCAGUAGUCCCUGUCUCUUAUAC
rnacentral:rRNA from 1 species